rnacentral:misc_RNA from 1 species
CUAGUCUCUUUUGAGAUUGCAUUGUGUGGAAGAAGAAAAGCCAAGUAAAUUGUUGAGGAAAAAAUAAGAAAAAAAAAUCUCUAACCAUACGCCACAACAGCCUCACUCUACCUCCCCCAAUUCAUUCUUUCUCCUCACAUACUGAUACACGCAGCCUCCAUUCCAUUUUCAUUCUCAGUAUCAACAUCUCUCUCUUGCUCUCCUCGUCGCCGUCGUCGCCUUUCUCAUCAGCUCGUUGUCCAUGCACUCGUCCUCAUCAUGUCUCAGAGACUCAAACUCACUGUCGAUUCGGCCUCUGGCCUAUAGUUGGUGUCGACUCGCUCUUUACGACGAAAACAUAUCCUCUUUGCAACAAAUAUUAGACUUCCUUAUCCUUGCAUGUUGUUCAUUUUGUUGCUCUUUUUUUUGGUUUAUUCUGUUGGUUAUUGGAUUGCUUAAUUUGUUGCAUGUUGAUUGCUAUGAGAAUGCCUCUAAAUUGCUGUGAAAGUGUAACUUGAGGGAGA